rnacentral:rRNA from 1 species
AGUGAACGCUGGCGGCGUGCUUAACACAUGCAAGUCGAACGAGAACGGAUUAUAGCUUGCUAUAAUUGUCAGCUAAGUGGCGCACGGGUGAGUAAUGUAUAGGUAAUAUGCCUCUUACUAAGGGAUAACAAAUGGAAACGUUUGCUAAUACCUUAUACUCCUUAUUAACAGAAGUUAAUAAGGGAAAGAUUUAUUGGUAAGAGAUUAGCCUGUAUUGUAUCAGUUAGUUGGUGGGGUAAUGGCUUACCAAGACUAUGACACAUAACUGGUUUGAGAGGAUGAUCAGUCACACUGGAACUGAGACACGGUCCAGACUCCUACGGAAGGCAGCAGUGGGGAAUAUUGCACAAUGGACGAAAGUCUGAUGCAGCAACGCCGCGUGGAGGAUGACACAUUUCGGUGCGUAAACUCCUUUUAUAUGAGAAGAUAAUGACGGUAUUAUAUGAAUAAGCACCGGCUAAUUCCGUGCCAGCCGCCGCUGUAA